AUGUGAAACCUCAAAAGCCAGGGCUCAGCCAUGGGAACGGGAUGGGAGCUGGUUCCUUCCUGGGAGUUGGAGUCCAGCCAGGAUUUGCCAAUGGGAACAGCCUGGCAGCCCAGCCAGGUCCUUGAUCUUCACUAUUUUCUUUUGCUCUGUGUCCCUUGGACUUGCGAACAGGAAUCGGCUGGGAGCUGGGGCCUUCUCAGGAGCAGAGACCUAGCCAGGUCCUGCAGCUCCAAAUGGCUAUGGACCAGGCCUUGUGGUUCCCAUCAGCAAUGGACCAGGUAGGGUAAGGGUUGGCACUGGGGCCAGGUGCCAGGGACCCAGAGGAGAGGCCUGUGGUAGGGACAUCUGGGCUGCUCACUUGCCCUCUUCUCUAGGCAUGGUGGUGGCGGGGCGGUGGGGGGGACGACCAGGAAACUCCAGAAGCCAUGUUAGCCUUUUUUGUCAACACCCGCUUAGCUCUGCUCCUAGAAACUGCUGACUGCCCUUUCCCCUCCUACCCAUCUCUGCAGGGUACAGGACCAGGCUGAGAGCUGGAACCUUUCCCCAAGAAGGGGCCCAACUGAGUGAGGGGUUCCUGCCGUGAGGGAGUUGUUCCCCUGCUGCUCCCCAGGCCUUCCACUUCAGGGAUCUCUUCAGAUAAAGGGGGGUGGCUGGGGCCUGAAAUCUCAGCCCUCUCCCCCAGUGCAGAAUGGCAAGGUCCCAGCACUGACCCCAGCCAUCCAGUAGGGACAGGAAGCUCAGAAAGCAGGCUACUUGCCUCUCAGUGGCUAUGGACCUGGAGCAGAAUUGAGUGAGACGGUCCUUGUCUGCCUGCCAGUCUCCCUUCAGACCCUUCUUCACCCACUUCCACUUGUUCACCGCCUUCCCACUGCCAGCCCAGGAAGAGGGUUAGCAAAGGCUGAGCCAGCUCUGACCCAGUCUCCUCUCCCCACGUUUUGGUGGUGACCUCAUGCUGCAGAAAGUAGGUCAGCCUGGAGUCCAUUGGGGCUCUCUCUGGCCCUACCUACAGCCCUGGGCAGCUUGGGUCAGGACUGAAUAUGGACAUGCAGGGCUCAGGAGCCAGCCAGGGACCUAUGGACAGCUGCGGCCUGCCCUGGGCCCAGGGCCCUUUGGGAGCCCUGACAUGAAGAGAGGCAGCAAUGGCCAGUUGGAAGCCAGUUACGCAGGUGAGAGGGAGCCACAGCAGCCUACCUGUCCCACACUGAAGGGUCACCAUUGUCACCCCUCUAGCUCCACUGGAGGGUGCCCGAAGUCCUUGGGUGGGAAAGCAGCCUCUCAGCACCUGCAGAGGACUACUGAGGGAUGAAUUCAGGGACCAGAGGAGAGGGAGCUGGGACUAGGGAGGGGCAGGCCCCCGUGGGGCCCUGGAUCUGAGCUCUGCCUCUUCCCAGGCCGCUGCCCUCUUGGGAAAUGCUGAGCACCUGAGCUGUCUCCUGCCCAUUGGAGAGCCCCAAAACAGUGGGCUUUGCUGGAGCAAGGAAGGCAGGACGUUGGGGCUUGGCCUCUGAUGGUGCCUAUCCUGGGUCUCCUCUGGGCUGAAGUAUCAAUAAAUGGAAUCUGUUUCCACUUGCCUCUGUGUACCACUGCAGUGAGGGUAGCAGGGGCUGGCAACCACUACCCAGCACCCCAUUCAUUUAUUCAUUCACAAACACCAGUGUGGCUGUGUGCCAGGGGCCGUGCAUCUAGAUGGGUGACAUUGUGAAAACAAAUCAAAGACCAGUGAGGGAACCAAUCUAAGUUAGGGGACUUGUGUAUGGAAAAAAGAUACUUCAUAAUUUGUUU
rnacentral:lncRNA from 1 species